rnacentral:rRNA from 1 species
UCAGUUAUCGUUUAUUUGAUAGUACCUAUCCUACAUGGAUAACAGUGGUAAUUCUAGAGCUAAUACAUGCUAAAAGCCCCGACUUCGGAAGGGGCGUAUUUAUCAGAAUCAGAACCAAUGCCCUUCGGGGCUCCCUGGUGGCUCAUGAUAACUCCACAGAUCGCAUGGCCUUGCGCCGGCGAUGGCUCAUUCAAAUUUCUUCCCUAUCAACUUUCGACGGUACGGUCUUGGCCUACCGUGGUUGCAACGGGUGACGGAGGGUUAGGGCUCGACCCCGGAGAGGGAGCCUGAGAAACGGCUACCACAUCCAAGGAAGGCAGCAGGCGCGCAAAUUAUCCAAUCCCGACUCGGGGAGAUAGUGACAAUAAAUACCGAUACAGGGCUCUUUUGGGCCCCGUAAUUGGAAUGAGUACAAUUUAAACCUCUUAACGAGGAACAAUUGGAGGGCAAGUCUGGUGCCAGCAGCCGCGGUAAUUCCAGCUCCAAUAGCGUAUAUUAAAGUUGUUGUGGUUAAAAAGCUCGUAGUCGAACCUCGAGCCCGGCCGGCCGGUCCGCCUCACCGCGUGCACUGGUCUGGCCGAGCUCUUCCCUCUGCGGAACCUCAUGUCCUUAACUGGGCGUGCUGGGGAGGCAGGACUUUUACUUUGAAAAAAUUAGAGUGCUCAAGGCAGGCCAAUGCUCGGAUACAUUAGCAUGGAAUAAUAGAAUAGGACGUUGGUUCUAUUUUGUUGGUUUCUAGGACCGCCGUAAUGAUCAAUAGGGACGGUCGGGGGCAUCAGUAUUCAGCCGCGAGAGGUGAAAUUCUUAGACCGGCUGAAGACUAACUACUGCGAAAGCAUUUGCCAAGGACGUUUUCGCUGAUCAGGAACGAAAGUUAGGGGAUCGAAGACGAUCAGAUACCGUCGUAGUCUUAACCAUAAACGGUGCCGACUUGGGAUCGGGCGCUGUUCUCUCUAGACGCGCUCGGCACCAUUCGAGAAAUCAAAGUGCGUGGGCUCCAGGGGGAGUAUGGCGGCAACGCUGAAACUUAAAGAAAUUGACGGAAGGGCACCACCAGGGGUGGAACCUGCGGCUUAAUUUGACUCAACACGGGGAAACUCACCAGGUCCGGACACAAUGAGGAUUGACAGAUUGAGAGCUCUUUCUUGAUUUUGUGGGUGGUGGUGCAUGGCCGUUCUUAGUUGGUGGGGUGACUUGUCUGCCUAAUCGCGAUAACGAACGAGACCUUGACUGCUAAAUAGCACGCGCCGCCUCGGCGGUGUCGCGGCUUCUUAGUGGGACUAUCGGCUCAAGCCGAUGGAAGUUCGAGGCAAUAACAGGUCUGUGAUGCCCUUAGAUGUCCUGGGCCGCACGCGCGUGACACUGACAGAGCCAGCGAGUUCUUCCCUUGGCCGGAAGGCCCGGGUAAUCUUGUGAAACUCCGUCGUGAUGGGGAUAGAGCAUUGCAAUUGUUGCUCUUCAACGAGGAAUCCCUAGUAAGCGCAAGUCAUCAGCUUGCGUUGAUUACGUCCCUGCCCUUUGUACACACCGCCCGUCGCUACUACCGAUUGAAUGGCUCAGUGAGGUUUUCGGACUGGCCCAGGAAGGCGGGAGACUGCUAUCCAGGGCCGGAAAGUUGCCCAAACUCGGUCAUUUAGAGGAAGUAAA